GACCAAGGUAGAGGUGCUGUUAUUAAUAGUAUUUAUAAUGAGCUUUGCAAAGUGAUGAAUUAUAAAGAAAGGAUUAACAGCCGAAGAAAUAUAUCAUUGCAAUGAUUUAUUUCUGGGGAUACAUAUAAUAUAUGUAUCACUGUCACGUAAGUGGAGGGCUACAAGGCAA
rfam:Clostridium sp. 7_2_43FAA genomic scaffold supercont2.2, whole genome shotgun sequence.